rnacentral:rRNA from 1 species
AUUGAACGCUGGCGGCAGGCUUAACACAUGCAAGUCGAACGAGUGGCGGACGGGUGAGUAAUGCAUGGGAAUCUGGCUUAUGGAGGGGGAUAACUACGGGAAACUGUCGCUAAUACCGCGUACCAUAGGAUGAGCCCAAAUGGGAUUAGGUAGUUGGUGGGGUAAUGGCCCACCAAGGCGACGAUCCCUAGCUGGUCUGAGAGGAUGACCAGCCACACUGGGACUGAGAGACGGCCCGGACUCCGACGGGAGGCAGCAGUGGGGAAUAUUGCGCAAUGGGGGCAACCCUGACGCAGCCAUGCCGCGUGAAUGAAGAAGGCCUUCGGGUUGUAAAGUUCUUUCGGUAUUGAGGCGUUACCAACAGAAGAAGUGACGGCUAACUCCGUGCCAGCAGCCGCGGUAAUAC